AGCAGCCGCGGUAAUUCCAGCUCCAAUAGCGUAUAUUAAAGUUGUUGCAGUUAAAAAGCUCGUAGUUGAAUUUCGGGAUCAGUACGCCGGUCGUGCCUUCGGUAUGCACUGGUGUCACUGGUUUCUCCCUUCUGAAGAACCAUCAUGCCAUUCAGUUGGUGUGGCGGGGAAUCAGGACUGUUACUUUGAAAAAUUAGAGUGUUUAAAGCAGGCUCGCGCUUGAAUACAUUAGCAUGGAAUAAUGAAAUAGGACGUUUGACCCUAUUUUGUUGGUUUCUAGGAUCGACGUAAUGAUUAAUAGGGAUAGUUGGGGGCAUUAGUAUUCAACUGUCAGAGGUGAAAUUCUUGGAUUUAUUGAAGACUAACUACUGCGAAAGCAUUUGCCAAGGAUGUUUUCAUUAAUCAAGAACGAAAGUUAGGGGAUCGAAGACGAUCAGAUACCGUCGUAGU
rnacentral:rRNA from 1 species